rnacentral:tRNA from 1 species
CAUUCAAUAUCUUAAAAAAAAGAAUUAAUUUUUUAAAUUAAAGAUAGUUAAUAAACUUUGAAUGA